GGAGGGGCAGGGUGCUGGGGCGCGCCCGGGUGUGCUCGAGCGUGCGCUGGCGGCGACCCGGGCUCUCGGGCGUCUCUCACGCUGUGUUUUGGCGGCGCCUGGGGUCUUCGUUUGCAUAUGAGAAGAGCCGAAAGCACAGAGCUACAGGCGAAUACAAGUGGAUUUUUUUUCUUUUUCUGUUUUUUUAUUAGAAGUAAUAGUUGCUGCAUUUUGAAAAAUCAAGAGGAAAAGAGUUAACAGGAAGAAAAGUUCGAGGCUGGAAUGCAGUGGUGCAGACAUGGCUCACUACAGCCUCAACCUCCUGGCCUCAAGCGAUCCUCCUGCCUCCACUUCCUGAGUAACUUUGGUCACAGAGACACGGUUUCCCUAUGUUGCCCAGGCUGGUCUUGAACUCCUGGUCUCAAGUGAUCCUCCUGCCUUGGCAAAAUGCUGGGAUUACAGGUAUUAUACAGUCCUCCUGCAGAUGGCACUCUUCUCCUGCAGAAUUGUCACCUCUUGCGCUCUGGACUUGAGCCUUACACUGAGAUAAGGAUGAGAAAUGAGUGAUUUUAAGGGCUAGGUUUACACCCAAUUUAUGGUCAUCUUGCUCAUGCUCAUCCUGCACAAUUUCUAGCAUUUGGAGAAUGUUUCUCAUGAUAGCAUCUAAUGCCUGUGGCUGCUGAGAGAAAGCAGCGAUGAGGGGAAGACACUGACCUCUGUUUGGAUGUGGUGUGCCUGGGAAUAAUGUCACCAAUAGCAUAAGAAUUAAUGUCUACUGUGAUGCUGAAAUAAAUAAACUGGUAAAACUACUCUGCUGUCUAAAUCCCCAAGUUACAAAUUUACAGAGCUGCCGGCUUCCCCUUGAAGGAAUAGGAGUAGACCUGCUGAACUAUCACAUGAGAGAAGAGGCCCAAAAGCUUGCAUACUACAGUCAAGCUGGCCCUUAAAGAGAUGGACCUAGAAGAUGCUGAGCCAGAUGUACUCAAUUACUUCUCCAAAAUUCAUCAAUUAGAUAAGACACUCUUCCCAUGAAAGGAGGUAGCUGGGGGAGAGGCUGAAGUAAUCCUUCCAUGCUUUGUUUCCUAGGGAAUAGAGUGGACAUUUCCUGCUCAAGGUGGAAAAUUGUGUAGUAAUAAAUGUCCUCAAUACAUAAUUAUCAUCUAUUACCCAGUGGGCAAAUUCCAUCACUGCAGAGACCCAGACUGCAAUACUAGAGGUAGCCAAUAUCUACACAACUCUCUGAGGAAGAGAAAAGGGCCUUGCUCUUCUAUGUUUCUCCUGUAACCCCUAUGGUACUCAUAUAGCAGACCCAAAAGAGUGCCAGUAUAAGAAAAUCAUGAAGUUGCUCAAAAAUCAGUCUUACUCUUUUGGUCAGGCUUUUUUCUUCUUUCUUCUUACAUUCUGAAAAACCAAGAUUAUUGAUUUCAAAUGGCAGAUGAUCAGGUACUUUCAAUGUGUUAACAGAUGUCAGUAGUAAAUUGUUCAAUCACUGUUGAAGUGGAUGAAGAAUAACAACAUUUUUUAGUACAUGAUAUUUUGUAAAUGUCAUCAUUUUGGCCUUGUGUUACUUUUCUAGGUAACACUUGGGUAGAAAAAACAGCUAAUUGAAUUUUAUAAACCUGGUUGAACAUCUAUUGUGUUCAAGCCAUUAUGCCGAGUGCUGUGAAAAAUGCAAAAAGACUAAGACAUACAUAGUUCCUACAUAUAUAUAUGAACAAUUUCAUCCAUAGGCAUUUAUAUUCUGGUAGAAAUAUACUGAAGAAAAUUCCAAUACUGGGAAAGCAAAGAUAGAAUACAAAGUCCUAAGUAAAACAGAACAAACCCUGAACUGCCUAGAUUAAAAAUAAUG